rnacentral:rRNA from 1 species
GGUUAAGCGACUAAGCGUACACGGUGGAUGCCCUGGCAGUCAGAGGCGAUGAAGGACGUGCUAAUCUGCGAUAAGCGUCGGUAAGGUGAUAUGAACCGUUAUAACCGGCGAUUUCCGAAUGGGGAAACCCAGUGUGAUUCGUCACACUAUCAUUACGUGAAUACAUAGCGUAAUGAAGCGAACCGGGGGAACUGAAACAUCUAAGUACCCCGAGGAAAAGAAAUCAACCGAGAUUCCCCCAGUAGCGGCGAGCGAACGGGGAGCAGCCCAGAGUCUGAAUCAGCAUGUGUGGUAGUGGAACGGUCUGGAAAGUCCGACGGUACAGGGUGAUAGUCCCGUACACAAAAUCACACAUGUUGUGAACUCGAAGAGUAGGGCGGGACACGUGGUAUCCUGUCUGAAUAUGGGGGGACCAUCCUCCAAGGCUAAAUACUCCUGACUGACCGAUAGUGAACCAGUACCGUGAGGGAAAGGCGAAAAGAACCCCGGCGAGGGGAGUGAAAAAGAACCUGAAACCGUGUACGUACAAGCAGUGGGAGCCUCUUUAUGGGGUGACUGCGUACCUUUUGUAUAAUGGGUCAGCGACUUAUAUUCUGUAGCAAGGUUAACCGAAUAGGGGAGCCGAAGGGAAACCGAGUCUUAACUGGGCGUUAAGUUGCAGGGUAUAGACCCGAAACCCGGUGAUCUAGCCAUGGGCAGGUUGAAGGUUGGGUAACACUAACUGGAGGACCGAACCGACUAAUGUUGAAAAAUUAGCGGAUGACUUGUGGCUGGGGGUGAAAGGCCAAUCAAACCGGGAGAUAGCUGGUUCUCCCCGAAAGCU